rnacentral:rRNA from 1 species
ACGGAAGGCAGCAGUGGGGAAUAUUGCACAAUGGGGGAAACCCUGAUACAGCGACGCCGCGUGAGUGAAGAAGUAUUUCGGUAUGUAAAGCUCUAUCAGCAGGGAAGAAAAUGACGGUACCUGACUAAGAAGCCCCGGCUAACUACGUGCCAGCAGCCGCGGUAAUACGUAGGGGGCAAGCGUUAUCCGGAUUUACUGGGUGUAAAGGGAGCGUAGACGGUUCUGCAAGUCUGAUGUGAAAGGCAGGGGCUCAACUCCUGGACUGCAUUGGAAACUGUAGAACUAGAGUGCCGGAGAGGUAAGCGGAAUUCCUAGUGUAGCGGUGAAAUGCGUAGAUAUUAGGAGGAACACCAGUGGCGAAGGCGGCUUACUGGACGGUAACUGACGUUGAGGCUCGAAAGCGUGGGGAGCAAACAGGAUUAGAUACCCUGGUA